rnacentral:tRNA from 3 species
GCCUGGGUAGCUCAGUCGGUAGAGCAAAGGACUGAAAAUCCUUGUGUCGGCGGUUCGAUUCCGCCCCCAGGCACCA